GCCUGGUUAGCUUAGUUGGUAGUGCGUCUGCCUUGUAAGCGCUAGGCCGCGGGUUCGAUUCCUGCCCGGGGCG
rfam:Asian citrus Psyllid, Diaphorina citri - Florida Strain, whole genome shotgun sequence.